ACACCUCAACUCUCAUGGUUAGCCAUGAUGAGCUUGGACUUUGGGGGUCUUGCUGGCCUAUGGUCAGCUCCUCUCAAACAAAUCAGCUUGCCAGUGUUUGGUGGCAUCACAGGUGUGAUAACUAUCUACGCUUGUGGUUUUCCACCAGGUAACCUUCAGUGAUGGAGGUUCGCUGGAGCUCAUAAACGUCUCUCCUCUGCGAGGACGGCUUUUUGAAC
rnacentral:misc_RNA from 1 species